AUUUGACUGGGCUAAUGAAACUGACUUUUCCAGGGAAAAUAUAUCCAUAAAUUUGAUAAUUAGCUAUCGAUAAAUUAUUUUAAGUUGGGAAAGUAGGUGACUGAUGAAAUGUCAACAUUAUGAACUCUUACACCUACUUAUUCAAAUGACAACGUUUCAGUUUUGUGUUACAGAAAGGAGAAAUCCAGUAUUUAAUAUAAUGAUAAUAUUGGAAAAGAAAGUCAGUUUUCUCCCUGGUGAUAUUUAUCCCUGAAGAGAAUAGUAGAGAGGCAUGCGGUCAUCCUUGUGCAUUUAAAUAUUUAGAAUGCUGACAUGUCAAACAGUUCCAUGGGCUUUUUUCACGAGUAACUAGUAGGAAAUAUUAAAUAACUCAAAUUAUUUAGUCAAGAAAAGAAAAAUUAAACAAAGUACAUGAUAAAGUUAUUAAAGGUCUUAAUGAAUAUGAAUAUUAAUAGUACUUCUCUGUUUUUUUUAGAAGAAAAUAAAAAGAAAAGGUCUAAACCAGUAGGCCAUUAAUCUGUCCUUUUUAUUCAAAGAUUCGGCAACACACCAGUGCAA
rnacentral:lncRNA from 10 species